CGGAGGGUGCAAGCGUUAUCCGGAUUCACUGGGUUUAAAGGGUGCGUAGGCGGGCAGUUAAGUCCGUGGUGAAAUCUCUGAGCUUAACUCAGAAACUGCCAUGGAUACUAUUUGUCUUGAAUAUUGUGGAGGUUAGCGGAAUAUGUCAUGUAGCGGUGAAAUGCUUAGAUAUGACAUAGAACACCAAUUGCGAAGGCAGCUAGCUACACAGUUAUUGACGCUGAGGCACGAAAGCGUGGGGAUCAAACAGGAUUAGAUACCCUGGUAGUCCACGCCCUAAACGAUGAUUACUCGACAUCAGCGAUACACUGUUGGUGUCUGAGCGAAAGCAUUAAGUAAUCCACCUGGGAAGUACGACCGCAAGGUUG
rnacentral:rRNA from 1 species